AUGGCGGGAGCGGUGAACGGCGUGGAGGCAGCGCAAGCUCAGGGCGGCGGCGCGGCGGCGGGGGAGGCGGCGAUCAGGCACCGGACGGUGGAGGCGAACGGCAUCGCGAUGCACGUGGCGGAGUCCGGGCCGGAGGACGGGCGGGCGGUGCUGUUCCUGCACGGCUUCCCGGAGCUGUGGUACUCGUGGCGGCACCAGAUGGCGCACCUCGCCGCGCGGGGCUACCGGUGCGUGGCGCCCGACCUGCGCGGCUACGGCGGCACGGAGGCGCCGGCCGACGUCGCGUCCUACACCGCCUUCCACGUCGUCGGCGACGCCGUCGCGCUGCUCGACGCCCUCGGCAUCGGCAAGGUGUUCGUGGUGGGGCACGACUGGGGCGCCAUCAUCGCCUGGUACCUCUGCCUCUUCCGCCCGGACCGGGUGACGGCGCUCGUCAACACCAGCGUCGCCUUCAUGCGCCACGUCUUCAUCCGCGCCGGCGCCGCCGCCGUCAAGACCACCGACUACUUCAACCAAGCCUACGGCCCGACCUACUACAUCUGCCGCUUCCAGGAGCCGGGGGUGGCGGAGAAGGAGUUCGCGCCGGCGCACGCGAGGCACCUGAUGACGCGGAUCCUGAGCGACCGCUUCAGCGAGCGCGCGGCGGGCAAGGAGCCCAAGGACGGCGGCGACGACGACGCCGAGGCGCUCCCGCCGUGGCUCACGGAGGCGGACAUCGACUACUUCGCCGCGGCGUUCGAGAAGACGGGCUUCACGGGCGCCAUCAACUACUACCGCAACAUGGACCGGAACUGGGAGCUGGCGGCGCCGUGGGCGGACGCCAAGGUGGCGGUGCCGACCAAGUUCAUCGUGGGGGACGGCGACCUGACGUACCACUACGCCGGGAUACAGGACUACCUGCACAAGGGCGGGCUCAAGGCGGACGUGCCGCUGCUGGAGGAGCUGGUCGUCGUCCCCGGCGCCGGCCACUUCAUCCAGCAGGAGCGGGCGCAGGAGGUCAGCGACCACAUCCACGAUUUCAUCGCCAAGUUCUGA
rnacentral:rRNA from 1 species